UAAGGAAUAUUGGUCAAUGGAGGCAACUCUGAACCAGCCGUGCCGCGUGAAGGAUUAAGGCCCUCUGGGUUGUAAACUUCUUUUAUAUGGGAAGAAAUGUACUUUUUCUAAAGUGCUUGACGGUACCAUAGGAAUAAGCACCGGCUAACUCCGUGCCAGCAGCCGCGGUAAUACGGAGGGUGCAAGCGUUAUCCGGAUUUACUGGGUUUAAAGGGUGCGUAGGCGGAUGAAUAAGUCAGUGGUGAAAUCUCCGAGCUUAACUCGGAAACUGCCGUUGAUACUAUUUGUCUUGAAUAUUGUGGAGGUAAGCGGAAUAUGUCAUGUAGCGGUGAAAUGCUUAGAUAUGACAUAGAACACCAAUUGCGAAGGCAGCUUGCUACACAAUCAUUGACGCUGAGGCACGAAAGCGUGGGGAUCAAACA
rnacentral:rRNA from 1 species